rnacentral:rRNA from 1 species
GAUGAACGCUAGCGACAGGCUUAACACAUGCAAGUCGAGGGGCAGCACGGGAGUAGCAAUACAACUGGUGGCGACCGGCGCACGGGUGAGUAACGCGUAUGCAACCUACCUAUCAGAGGGGAAUAACCCGGCGAAAGUCGGACUAAUACCGCAUAAAACAGGGGCACCGCAUGGUGAUAUUUGUUAAAGAAAUUCGCUGAUAGAUGGGCAUGCGUUCCAUUAGGUAGUUGGUGAGGUAACGGCUCACCAAGCCGACGAUGGAUAGGGGAACUGAGAGGUUGGUCCCCCACACUGGUACUGAGACACGGACCAGCCUCCUACGGGAGGAAGCAGUGAGGAAUAUUGGUCAAUGGGCGAGAGCCUGAACCAGCCAAGUCGCGUGAAGGAAGAAGGAUCUAUGGUUCGUAAACUUCUUUUGCAGGGGAAUAAAGUGCAGGACGUGUCCUGUUUUGUAUGUACCCUGAGAAUAAGGAUCGGCUAACUCCGUGCCAGCCGCCGCCGUAACAC